rnacentral:rRNA from 1 species
UACGAAGGGGGCUAGCGUUGCUCGGAAUCACUGGGCGUAAAGGGUGCGUAGGUGGCUUCGUAAGUCCGUUGUGAAAGUCAAAGGCUCAACCUUUGAAAGCCGAUGGAUACUGCGGAGCUAGAGUACGGAAGAGGCGAGUGGAAUUCCUGGUGUAGCGGUGGAAUGCGCAGAUAUCAGGAGGAACACCAAUAGCGAAGGCAGCUCGCUGGGACGUUACUGACACUGAGGCGCGAAAGCGUGGGGAGCGAACAGG